CAGUAGCCGCGGUAACACGUAGGGUGCAAGCGUUAAUCGGAAUUACUGGGCGUAAAGCGUGCGCAGGCGGUUUGUUAAGACAGAUGUGAAAUCCCCGGGCUCAACCUGGGAACUGCAUUUGUGACUGGCAAGCUAGAGUGUGGCAGAGGGGGGUGGAAUUCCGCGUGUAGCAGUGAAAUGCGUAGAUAUGCGGAGGAACACCGAUGGCGAAGGCAGCCCCCUGGGCCAACACUGACGCUCAUGCACGAAAGCGUGGGGAGCAAACAGGAUUAGAUACCCGAGUAGUCCCUGUCUCUUAUAC
rnacentral:rRNA from 1 species